AGUUGUGUCUCUGGCUUUCCCACUUUUAUAUAAGUCAAACAAGCCAAUAAUAUUAACCCUUGUAUCUGAACCAAUUAUGUAAUUCCGCCAUUUAGCUUCCUGAUCUAUGAACAAUCACUCUGCAUUGUUUUUGGAAUGUGAACAUAUUUUUUCAUGCUGAGCUUCAUAAAGCUUUUUAUUUUGAAUUAGUUGUUCCACUUCAUUAAUCACUACUGCAAAAAUGUCUCUUUUCUUGAACCUAAUUCUGUGUUUUGCUUGUAGAUGGUAGGGAGAAUCCAAAUUUAGAAGACCAGGAGCAAUGCUGCAGUUGAUUCCGGGAUCUUUGUGCAGCUUUUAGCCUUAUCUUGAAUCAUGCUUUAGUUCUUUUGUUUGUGUGCCGUCUUGUUGGUUCCAUCGUUAAGACUUACUAAGGGUGUGGCUGUAGACACAUAAUUUUGUCCCGCUGAAAAUAAUCCUUUCUCCGUUAUCACGCACUUUGAUCCCAUCUUAUAAUUUUCGUCAAGAAAAACAAAUGAAUAACCACCUCAUCUUUUACUUAUUUAUUUAUUCCCUUUUUUUUAUCCAAAUAACAAACCCUAACCAAUUUUGUCUUAUCUUAAAGAUUCCAACAACUCACCCAAUAAAAAAUAAACACCUAACCCUCAACCCUCCAACUUAAAAACACCUCACCUCUCACCUAACCACCGUCACCAUCCCAUACCCCUACCCUCACCCCUACCCCACAUGACCCCCCUCAUAUUUCUUGUCCAAAAAGUAAAAAAGGGAUACAGGAUUCUUUCUUCCUCUCCAUUUUUCAAAAACAGAUAGAUACAGGGUAAUUCCAUCAUCCUCACCAUAGCAGACCUCACUCAUAGAAACCUACAGAGAUUCACCCACAAAAAAUCUCACGCACACACUCACAGCUCACCGAAAAAUAGAUGACACACACAGAGUAAAGGGAGAUAGAGAAAAGGUGAGAAAUUGAGAGUGAGAAAUGGAGGGAGAUUGAGAGAGAAGAGAGGAACAGAGCGAGAGAGAGAUCUGCGAGAGAGAUCGUGAGAGAGAGAGGGAGAAAACGCAAGAGAGAGAGCAAAGAAGGGGAACCGAUCCAUGAGCCUCGAUUCCGGCAAAAACUCACCGGAGUACACUACACCAAUACCAACAAACCCACCGGAAAACCAGUCCCAUCCCUAAGGUUUUGAAAUCAGAAACCAAAACCCUUAGGCGGGAUCACAUCGAGCUUUCGAUGAACGACCGGAGAUUUCUCAUCGGAAAUUCCAUCGGUUCAUCGUCUAUCACCCGCUCACCGAGAAAUGACCUAAUCCAACUUCACUUCACUGUUCUGGCAUGAAUUUUAUAUUUGUUGUCAUGAGCUUUGGUUUGGGUUAGUGCGAAAUAGAAGCGGUUGGGUGGAAUUCGACAUCGAUAUUAUCGACUUGGGGUGUUUCGUUGUUCGAGGUUCAAAUCGAGAUUCAUCGGCACGGAUUUCUUUAUUAUCUACGAGAACGCUCUAUUAAGAAGGUCGCGGUUUAAAGUCAUGGAUAUAGCCUGUUGCAGAAAUGUGAGGUAAGGUUGUGGAUAACAAAUCCUUGUUCGGCCCUUCUUUGGACCCGUGCAAAGCGGAAGCUUUAUGCACCGAGCUAUCCUUAUGUAUAUGACAAGGUCUAAAAGUAUUGACUUAGUGAAAUCAUACAAGGUAUUGAAUCGGGCAUGUUGCAGAUGAUGUUGUAUCAUUGAUAAAUUAGUGAGAUUGAAUGAGUUUGGGAUAUUUUAGUGGUGGUGAUGAUUCUGUAGCAGUAGUGUUGCUACUUCUUUUCAUAUUGGUAAAAAUAUUCUUUUGAUAAAACGACUUCUAGAUUUUAUUAUAAUUACCCUUUGAAAAUACUUUUUUGUUUUUUGCAAAGAUGUUUAUCGCACAUUGUACUAAGCAACUAAUCUAAUGUGUUGCGUAUAGGAUCCCUUUGUGAUCUUAAACAUUUCAAUAAAGAAUAAAGUGUGUGACCUUUGAU